rnacentral:rRNA from 1 species
UACGUAGGGUGCAAGCGUUGUCCGGAAUUAUUGGGCGUAAAGAGCGUGUAGGCGGCCCGACAAGUCCGCUGUGAAAGUCCAGGGCUCAACCCUGGAAUGCCGGUGGAUACUGUCGGGCUAGAGUCCGGAAGGGGCGAGUGGAAUUCCUGGUGUAGCGGCGAAAUGCGCAGAUAUCAGGAAGAACACCCGUGGCUAAGGCGGCUCUCUAGUACGGUACUGACGCUGAGACGCGAAAGCGUGGGGAGCGAACAGG